UCGAUCUCAAAUCAGGUAGGACUACCCGCUGAACUUAAGCAUAUCAAUAAGCGGAGGAAAAGAAACUAACAAGGAUUCCCCUAGUAACUGCGAGUGAAGCGGGAAGAGCUCAAAUUUAAAAUCUGGCGUGCCUCUGGCCGUCCGAGUUGUAGUCUGGAGAAGCGUCUUCCGUGUUGGACCGUGUAUAAGUCUCUUGGAACAGGGCGUCAUAGAGGGUGAGAAUCCCGUCUUUGACACGGACUACCAAUGCUUUGUGAUGCGCUCUCAAAGAGUCGAGUUGUUUGGGAAUGCAGCUCAAAAUGGGUGGGUAAAUUCCAUCUAAAGCUAAAUAUAGGCGAGAGACCGAUAGCGAACAAGUACCGUGAGGGAAAGAUGAAAA
rnacentral:rRNA from 1 species